rnacentral:rRNA from 1 species
UGCGCAGGUGGGGAUGUAAGUCAGUGGUGAAAUGUUGCCGCUCAACGGUAAAAUUGCCAUUGAUACUGCAUCUCUUGAGUAUGGUUGAGGUAGGCGGAAUGUGUUGUGUAGCGGUUAAAUGCAUAGAUAUGACACAGAACGCCGAUUGCGAAGGCAGCUUACUAAGCCAUUAUUGACGCUGAGGCACGAAAGCGUGGGGAGCGAACAGGAUUAGAUACCCUGGUAGUCC